CAGCCGCCGCGGUAACACCGGCGGCCCGAGUGGUGAUCGUGAUUAUUGGGUCUAAAGGGUCCGUAGCCGGUUUGGUCAGUCCUCCGGGAAAUCUGAUAGCUCAACUAUUAGGCUUUCGGGGGAUACUGCCAGACUUGGAACCGGGAGAGGUAAGAGGUACUACAGGGGUAGGAGUGAAAUCUUGUAAUCCCUGUGGGACCACCUGUGGCGAAGGCGUCUACCAGAACGGGUUCGACGGUGAGGGACGAAAGCGUGGGGGCACGAACCGGAUUAGAUACCCGGGUAGUCCCAGCCGUAAACGAUGCUCGCUAGGUGUCAGGCAUGGCGCGACCGUGUCUGGUGCCGCAGGGAAGCCGUGAAGCGAGCCACCUGGGAAGUACGGCCGCAAGGCUGAAACUUAAAGGAAUUGGCGGGGGAGCACAACAACGGGUGGAACGCCUGCGGUUUAAUUGGACUCAACGCCGGACAACUCACCGGGGGCACAGCAAUAUGUAGGCCAAGCUGAAGACUUUGCCUGAAUCGCUGAGGGGAGGUGCAUGG
rnacentral:rRNA from 1 species